rnacentral:rRNA from 1 species
AAUGGGGGAAACCCUGAUGCAGCGAUGCCGCGUGAGUGAAGAAGGCCUUUGGGUUGUAAAACUCUUUCGUCGGGGAAGAAAAUGACUGUACCCGAAUAAGAAGGUCCGGCUAACUUCGUGCCAGCAGCCGCGGUAAUACGAAGGGAUCUAGCGUAGUUCGGAAUUACUGGGCUUAAAGAGCUCGUAGGUGGUUAAAAAAGUUGGUGGUGAAAUCCCAAGGCUUAACCUUGGAACUGCCAUCAAAACUUUUUAGCUUGAGUGUGAUAGAGGAAAGUGGAAUUUCUAGUGUAGAGGUGAAAUUCGUAGAUAUUAGAAAGAACACCAAAAGCGAAGGCAACUUUCUGGAUCACUACUGACACUGAGGAGCGAAAGCAUGGGUAGCGAAGAGGAUU